ensembl:snRNA U6 U6 spliceosomal RNA
GUGCUCACUGUGGCAACACAUAUACUAAAUUGGAAUACAGAGAAGAUUAGUAUGGCCCCUGCACAAAGAUGACACGCAAGUUUGAGAAGCAUUCCACAGUUUU